UACGUAGGGGGCGAGCGUUAUUCGGAAUUAUUGGGCGUAAAGGGCGCGUAGGCGGCUCGGCACGUCCGUUGUGAAAUCGCUCGGCUCAACUGGGCGGGGUCAGCGGAUACGGCCGCACUCGAGCAAGCUAGGGGGCAAUGGAAUUCCCGGUGUAGUGGUGGAAUGCGUAGAUAUCGGGAGGAACACCAGUGGCGAAGGCGGUUGCCUGGAGCUUUGCUGACGCUGAGGCGCGAAAGCGUGGGGAGCGAUCCGG
rnacentral:rRNA from 1 species